rnacentral:misc_RNA from 1 species
UGGCUGUAGCAUUGGCGG